rnacentral:rRNA from 1 species
UACGUAGGGUGCGAGCGUUAUUCGGAAUUACUGGGCGUAAAGCGUGCGCAGGCGGUUCGUUAUGUCCGAUGUGAAAGCCCCGAGCUCAACUUGGGAAUGGCAUUGGAAACUGGCGGGCUGGAGUGUGGCAGAGGGGGGUGGAAUUCCACGUGUAGCAGUGAAAUGCGUAGAGAUGUGGAGGAACACCGAUGGCGAAGGCAGCCCCCUGGGCCAACACUGACGCUCAGGCACGAAAGCGUGGGGAGCAAACAGG